GAGCCCCUGUCAGCCGUUAGACGGAGGCGAAGAAGUUGCCGAGUACCUCAGCCUUCUCCAUGUCUGUCAUUACCAAUUACUCAGAUACAGAAACUCACUCCUAAAAUAAGAAAUUACCCACCCAUAGUCGCUUACACACUACUGUUUUCACCCCUCAGUCUGUUUUCACACGUUAAAGGCGCAUGGUGGCCCUCGGGUUCUCCUCCUGUCACCCACCAGCAGCCCGAAGGGAGCUGGGUGUCUUGUGCUCUUCCUCCAGGCUCUGCACAGAAGGGUUGCCUCCUCUCGCACAAGGGCUGGGGAUGGGAAAGAAGCACUCACACAGCCCUGAGAAUUGGCAACACAGCUCUUUACUGCCGGGACAUCCUGCAGGGGAGCCUGCGGGAUGUCCGUGGUGUUUGGUGGCUCCAGGCUAAUGCUGGGGAUGGAGCCUGCGCGACGAGCAGGGAGCUCGCCGGGCACUGCUGUGACGCUGCUGGUGUGCUCAGAUGGCAGGGAGCAGGGGCAGGCCGGGGGCGUCACGGGUCUGACCUGGCCGAGGUGGAUCCAACCCCAUUGGUUCCUCCAUAUCUUUUGGUGCAUCCAUCUCCAUGGGCUCCACGGUGUUUGGCAGAAGGACAAGCCCGUCCUUGCCCGGGACUGCCCACAGGGGAUGCCUUCCAUCGGGAAUGUUCUCUGGCCAGGGUGCCGAACCAGGGGCUCAUCCAGUCCCACACCGAGGUCCCAUGCCACUCUCUGUUCAUUUCCAUGCAUGGGUUUGACACUGCCGCCUGGGUUACAGUCACGGCUGGGUCCCACACUGCAUUCUGGACGAUAAGCACGCCUCUCCUCCACGCGGCUCUCUGGCUGGUGCUCCUGCCUUCGCCCCACGCCACUGUUGCACCAUUGGGAAGGCCCCAGCCCCCUGUCACUGUAUGGCUGAGGGGGCAGCCUGUUCCCUGCGUCACCGUGGUGCCACUGGUACCACCUGUGAGUGUCUGUGGGCUGCACGCCAGAGGUCCCUCAGGCACUGGUGUCUUUUGUGCCAUGGGCGCUAUCCCUCUGCCCUUGACACAUCUCCUUGUUGGGUGCACUCCUUCUCGGUGCUUCCUCGGACUGCAUCGCUGUCCUCACACUGAGGAGGCCUGUCACUCGCCUUGCUGCUUCGGCUCUCCUUCCUGCCACGCAAGGUGGCUGUCAGAGGGCCUGGAAGCUCAGCGAGUGGUGAGGACCCUGCAGGGGUCCUGUUUUUUAGGGCCUGCUGCAAAGGCGCGCCGGUGGUGGCCACUCUGA
rnacentral:lncRNA from 1 species